rnacentral:rRNA from 1 species
GAUGAACGCUGGCGGCGUGCCUAAUACAUGCAAGUCGAGCGAACAGACGAUGAUCUUGCUGCUCUCACGUUAGCCGCGGACGGGUGAGUCACGCGUGUAUACCCUCCCUAUAUGACUGGGAUCACUUCGGGAAACCGGAUCUAAUCCCGUAUAAUCUCUUGAACCGCGUGGGUCAAUGGUAAGUGACGGUUUUUCUGUCUCUUAUCGCUGGUUCCGCGCCGUAUUAGCUAGUUGGUAAGGUAACGGCUUAGCAAGGCAACGAUGCGUAGCCGAACUGAGAGGGGGAUCGGCCACACGGGAACGGAGACAGGGUCCAGACUCCUACGGGAGGCAGCAGUAGGGAAUGUUCCGCAAUGGGGGAAAGCCUGACGGAGCAACGCCGCGUGAGUGAUGAAGGUCUUCGGAUCGUAAAACUCUGUUAUUAGGGAAGAACAAAUGUGUAAGGAACCAUGGACGUCUUGACGGUACCUAAUAAGAAAGCCACGGCUAACUACGUG